rnacentral:rRNA from 1 species
AGGGAAUCUUCCACAAUGGACGCAAGUCUGAUGGAGCAACGCCGCGUGAGUGAAGAAAGGUUUUCGGACCGUAAAGCUCUGUUGUUGGUGAAGAAGGAUAGAGGUAGUAACUGGCCUUUAUUUGACGGUAAUCAACCAGAAAGGUCACGGCUAACUACGUGCCAGCAGCCGCGGUAAUACGUAGGUGGCAAGCGUUGUCCGGAUUUAUUGGGCGUAAAGCGAGCGCAGGCGGAAGAAUAAGUCUGAUGUGAAAGCCCUCGGCUUAACCGAGGAAUUGCAUCGGAAACUGUUUU